rnacentral:rRNA from 1 species
AAACCGGGGCUAAUACCGGAUGGUUGUUUGAACCGCAGGUUCAGACAUAAAAGGUGGCUUCGGCUACCACUUACAGAUGGACCCGCGGCGCAUAGCUAGUUGGUGAGGUAACGGCUCACCAAGGCGACGAUGCGUAGCCGACCUGAGAGGGUGAUCGGCCACACUGGGACUGAGACACGGCCCAGACUCCUACGGGAGGCAGCAGUAGGGAAUCUUCCGCAAUGGACGAAAGUCUGACGGAGCAACGCCGCGUGAGUGAUGAAGGUUUUCGGAUCGUAAAGCUCUGUUGUUAGGGAAGAACAAGUGCCGUUCAAAUAGGGCGGCACCUUGACGGUACCUAACCAGAAAGCCACGGCUAACUACGUGCCAGCAGCCGCGGUAAUACGUAGGUGGCAAGCGUUGUCCGGAAUUAUUGGGCGUAAAGGGCUCGCAGGCGGUUUCUUAAGUCUGAUGUGAAAGCCCCCGGCUCAACCGGGGAGGGUCAUUGGAAACUGGGGAACUUGAGUGCAGAAGAGGAGAGUGGAAUUCCACGUGUAGCGGUGAAAUGCGUAGAGAUGUGGAGGAACACCAGUGGCGAAGGCGACUCUCUGGUCUGUAACUGACGCUGAGGAGCGAAAGCGUGGGGAGCGAACAGGAUUAGAUACCCUGGUAGUCCACGCCGUAAACGAUGAGUGCUAAGUGUUAAGGGGGUUUCCGCCCCUUAGUGCUGCAGCUAACGCAUUAAGCACUCCGCCUGGGGGAGUACGGUCGCAAGACUGAAACUCAAAGGAAUUGACGGGGGCCCGCACAAGCGGUGGAGCAUGUGGUUUAAUUCGAAGCAACGCGAAGAACCUUACCAGGUCUUGACAUCCUCUGACAAUCCUAGAGAUAGGACGUCCCCUUCGGGGGCAGAGUGACAGGUGGUGCAUGGUUGUCGUCAGCUCGUGUCGUGAGAUGUUGGGUUAAGUCCCGCAACGAGCGCAACCCUUGAUCUUAGUUGCCAGCAUUCAGUUGGGCACUCUAAGGUGACUGCCGGUGACAAACCGGAGGAAGGUGGGGAUGACGUCAAAUCAUCAUGCCCCUUAUGACCUGGGCUACACACGUGCUAC